GGCCUUUAGCCCAGUGGUCAUGGCAGUGAUGGUUUGGGCUUGGGACUGAAAGGUCUCAGGUUCGAAUCCUGAGCCA
rnacentral:tRNA from 1 species